CGUCAUUGGGAUUUGUCGUGUAACCUGACAUUCUUGUACGGAAGACAGUGGUGCAUGUUUGGUGGUAUCUGUGGUGCUGUUUGCUGAUCGUGAUUUAAUAAACGAAAUGUAAUUUGGCUUCUACUUUCAGCCUUCAGUGAGGAUGUCCGUAACUUCUAUUCAUAUUUUAAAAAGACUUUGCCUUAUUUCUAACCUAUAGCAGGAUUGCUUUAUUUCAAGCAUGUUCCCACCAAAUGCCCACCGUAUGGCAGAUUGUCCACAUAUCACGUGUGAUGAUGGGCACAAUCACGAGCAUAAUCCUAUUCUACGUCGUGACACCUCUAUAGGUUGUGGCCGGCCUUCACCGGACCACCCCUAUCAUGUGCUGUCAGGAGCAUCUAUUUUAUAACGGAAGUAGCCUAUACUAUACUCAAGAAUGGAUGCUGUAAGAAUUUCAGAUUUUCACCUAUUUUCUCGCUUUAAUAGAAAUCUAUGGAUCAAUAAAUUCAGAAAACAAUCAAUGAACUGGAUGUGUACUUUAUAUAAACCUUGCAAAUAAAGAAACAUUUUUUUAUCCCGA